rnacentral:rRNA from 1 species
GACGAACGCUGGCGGCGUGCUUAACACAUGCAAGUCGAGCGGUAAGGCCCUUUCGGGGUACACGAGCGCGAACGGGUGAGUAACACGUGGGUGACCUGCCCUCAGCUCUGGGAUAAAGCCCGGGAAACUGGGUCUAAUACUGGAUAUGACUCCAUGACGCAUGUUGUGGGGUGGAAAGCCUUGUGCGGCUGGGGAUGGGCCCGCGGCCUAUCAGCUUGUUGGUGGGGGAUGGCCUACCAAGGCGACGACGGGUAGCCGGCCUGAGAGGGCGACCGGCCACACUGGGACUGAGACACGGCCCAGACUCCUACGGGAGGCAGCAGUGGGGAAUCUUGCGCAAUGGGCGAAAGCCUGACGCAGCGA